AAGAGACAGCAGUAGCCACGGUAAUACAGAGGGUGCGAGCGUUAAUCGGAUUUACUGGGCGUAAAGCGUGCGUAGGCGGCUUCUUAAGUCGGAUGUGAAAUCCCUGAGCUUAACUUAGGAAUUGCAUUCGAUACUGGGAAGCUAGAGUAUGGGAGAGGAUGGUAGAAUUCCAGGUGUAGCGGUGAAAUGCGUAGAGAUCUGGAGGAAUACCGAUGGCGAAGGCAGCCAUCUGGCCUAAUACUGACGCUGAGGUACGAAAGCAUGGGGAGCAAACAGGAUUAGAUACCCGAGUAGUCCCUGCCUCUUAUAC
rnacentral:rRNA from 1 species